rnacentral:rRNA from 1 species
CCCGGGUAAACGGCGGGAGUAAUUAUGACUCUCUUAAGGUAGCCAAAUGCCUCGUCAUGUAAUUUAUGACGCGCAUGAAUGGAUCAAUGAGAUUCCUACUGUCCCUACUUACUAUCUAGCGAACCCACAGCCAAGGGAACGGGCUUGGCACAAUCAGCGGGGAAAGAAGACCCUGUUGAGCUUGACUCUAGUCUGACUUUGUGACAUGACAGUUGGGAUAUAGACGUAGGUGGGAGACUUCAACCAUGUAACACCACUACUCAAUUAGUCAUGGUACUUAUUUCGUCAUGUAGAAAGUCUCUGACUCUUCUAGAUAUAAGGCUUUUGCUGAUCUAGGCGGAUGACAGAGUUAGAUGGGGAGUUUGGCUGGGGCGGCACUUCUGUUAAAUGAUAACGCAGGUGUCCUACGGUGAGCUCAAAGAGAACAGAAAUCUCUUGUAGACCAGAAGGGGGAAAAGCUCACUUGAUUUGAAUUUUCAGUAAAAAUGCAAACUGUGAAAGCAUGGCC